AUGCGAUACUUUACCGGAUCUCCUUAAUGGCACCUCUACUGGCUCCAGAUUCUAUUCUCCAAUCAAAUCCAAUUCUGUAUGUGUCGGUCCUUCCAUCUCAUGAACUUCAUCAAGUUCAAUUUUACAGACAUUAGCUCCUUCACCAAGGAACUACUUUUCCAGAAAGACUGUUCGACUGCUGACAAAUAUCUUUUAUUCUGCAGUGAGGUAGAAGUAGUAUCUUU
rnacentral:lncRNA from 1 species